CUCUGUCUCUCAAAAAUAAAUAAAAAGCAUUUAAAAAUUUAAGAAAAAAUAAUAAGCACCUUCUCCAAACGUGAAGACAAUCUGGCCGGCCGCUCCUGGGCCUUCUUUUUUCUCAGCUUCUAGCAUCCAUCUGGCCCUGUCUCAGCCCUGCCUUUGAUCACCUCUGAUCUCUGUGUCCAGGCCUAGAGGAGGCCUGACCCCUAUGGGGAGGUGAGGGGCCCCCAGCCCCCUCCUCAGGGCAGAACAGUCCGGGCCCCAGGGCAGAACCAGCAAUCCUGGCGGGGACACUGGGCAGAUAAAGGCGGCCGCAGCAGCAGAGAGAAGAGCGAGCUGGAAUUUGGCAAGAAAAACAGAACUAUAAGGCCUCUGCAUUCUGUGACGCUGCACUUUUCCAAGAGCACGGGAGAAGGCCACCGCUGAGUUUCCAUUUCCAAAAUACCUGUCGGCCAGGCUGCUCUGAACCUCAAGGGCCCCAAUGCGGGUCCGGGCAACCCCCUCCGGAGGUAUAGGCUCCCCAGUGUUUAAUAACCUGCUGGCAUUUAACACUGUGCGGCCUUCCUGUGGUACGGACACACAGAGACGUGGGGCCCCAGGACACAGACGAGAGAGGAAAAUGCAGCGCACGACUUAGGAAGUGUGGUUCUACCUGUGUGUUAGCUGUGUCUUUGAUGUGAUUACUUGUGAUUCUUUCUAUGUAAACCUAACAGAUGACUUGGUAAUGAAUGCAACUCAUUUCUAACAGGGCAAUGCAUUUUUUUAUUGUGGUAAAAUAUAUGUAAUGUAAGAUUCAUCAUUUCAA